rnacentral:lncRNA from 1 species
CCGACGUUUAGACUGCUGUUCUAGCGUGGUGUUGACGUACCUUUUGGUGAGGAGACUUAGCAUAGAUUACUCCUCUUAGUACUAGCUUUUGACUAGAGUUUGUAUAUAGUAAAUGCUCUGGUAAUGUAACAUCGAGUCGGGGUUUUCGCUUGGCUUUCAUCGUAUAUCGGUGUUACCUUUUUGAUAUGCUAGUUCUUGUA